rnacentral:lncRNA from 1 species
CCUAUAUUACCGGUAUUGUUGUCAAUGGAUUUUUACCAUUAAUAAGUUUUUAAAAAAAUUACAAUACAGUGUAAGCACUAAAAUAGACAUAUGAGCAAGAUACUAUAUGACCCAAAGAAAGGCAAAAAUGAUCUCUUCUGUAAAGUUUCCCAUCCACCAUACCUUUUUUUUUUCCAGAAAUGGGACACUGUAUCUCAAGUGUUCAUAACAUAGAUACCCAGAGACACAGACUAAAAAACUACUUGGGCAAUUUAUGACACCUUUGGAACGCUGGUUAAGUUGCAGACAUUAGAACCCAAAUUAUGAAGUGCUCGGAUUGAUUGGCGAUUCCUGCCAGGAGCCUUCUAUGGUGUCAGCGUUGUGAGCCUCAUCCAAUAGGUGAGGGAACAGGAAAAGGAACAAUUAGUGUCUUGUCCGUAAUAACUCAAUAGUCCGUGGCAGGAGCAGAAAUUUCAAUCCAAAGGACCCACUGGGAUUGAGCCUGUGUUCAAAUCAAGAGUAAGAUGACAACAGAUGCUGGUUUAGAAGGCUCUCCCAUCUUCAGGAAACACAAGGAAAUAUGGCUUGCCCCACCCAUUAGACUUCUUUACAGGGCAAUGGAGUUCAUGCCUAUAAGGUAACCAGGGCAUUUUGGUCUUUCAUCCACAGCAAAGCCACAGAAAGAGGCAGGUUUCCAGGAACAUUCUGAGCCUGAUUCUCCAAGCGCACUCUUCUGCUGCACAUCAAACAUAAACUCAGCCACCACACAGUGUGAACCGCUAGCCUUAGAGGGUCCCUUUAUGUAACAGAGUGGCUGUCCUUACCUCAAGCUAGAAGAAGAUCCAGUGAUUUGAAUAAAUCUCCUAGCAUCGCUUCCCUGAUAAAGAAAAAAGUCCAUUCUAUUCCCCACUUAGCAUCACAAGUAAAAAGUCUCCAGAAGCGUCUGUGCCUGUGACAUUUAAAUUCAUGGAUGAAGCUGAAGCUCCUGUCACCCUCAUUUAUUCCCAACAGAUGCCAUUUUUGAGAGUGGACGCUGGUCUGGGAGGGUUCAUCGAGCUCCACAUUCAUGACGUGCGCAGGUUUCUGGUACGUGUCACAUUUCAGCUUUGGGCCCAAGUCAAAAUACAUGCACAAGUAAAGCAAAUGAUCACUUAAAUAGACUAAGCUUCUUGAAAUAGAACUGAGGGUUAUCACCAAUUUAGUAAAAACACACAACAAAAUCUCAUUUGAAGGAAGCCAGUUGUUAAAUUUUGGAGGGAUGAAUUAAAAGCAAAAUUUUAUU